GGAUAAUCGUCCUUCUUCGUCCUCGAUGAUCGACCCGCAGGUCGACUACAGAUCGACUUGCGGGAUCUGUUUGGGAUAAAAAAAAAGGCUCUUAGCAUUACUUUAAUAUGAGUGAGUUUGCAGAGGGGAAAGAGCCAGGCGGAAUUAUCAGCAGGGGAAGCAAACAACGAGCGAAGACACAGUAGAAAAUCAGUGGGAACAAUCAAAAGAUAGGAACGGGAGGGUACGCCAUUAUACGGCGUAAUUGGCCGAAUUGGAAAGUCUGAGGUCUCCCCGACUCUUUACCCUUCUACUACUUACUCUCGUUUAUAUCCCUCAUAUUGAUCGGCAUAAAUACGAAAUGCAGUUUGCCCCGUCCCUUCGGGAGGUCUCGCCGCGUCUUGUGCACGUCUGCGUAAUAAUGUAACAUCACCCAGUAGACCAGUAGCUUAAUCCUAAAGUACGAGAGAGCGUCGGGUUUCACUAGGCCACGGGAGUGGCAAAGAAAGAGGGAAUUCAUAUCUGUCCAAAUAAAUUUGAUUGAAUUUAUAAACCAUAAAUGUCCGAAAGCUCAAUAAAUUCUCACGAUUAAUUUAUAUAAUUACAAUUUUAAUCUAUUACAAUAUUAUUUUCAUGUGAACUAUAUAUACACGAUCGAUAUUCAUUAUUAUUAUAUUUAUUUUUAUUAUAUUAUUAUUAUUAUUAUUAUUAUUAUUAUUAUUAUUAUUGUCAUAUAGUUUAGAGAGGACGAAUAAAUGACACGUGGCUUAGAACGGUGAAAAAAUACUAGUAAAAAGAGAGACAUUAGACCGCCGGUGCGAUUCU